AGAUUGAACGCUGGCGGCAUGCCUAACACAUGCAAGUCGAACGGGAGUAGCAAUACUCUAGUGGCGGACGGGUGAGGAAUACGUAGGAAUUUGCCCUUAAGUGGGGGAUAACCCGGGGAAACCCGGAUUAAUACCGCAUGACCUCGAAAGAGCAAAGUGGGGGAUCGCAAGACCUCACGCUUUUGGAGAAGCCUACGUCGGAUUAGCUAGUUGGUGAGGUAAUGGCUCACCAAGGCGACGAUCCGUAACUGGUCUGAGAGGAUGAUCAGUCACACCGGAACUGAGACACGGUCCGGACUCCUACGGGAGCAGCAGUGGGGAAUAUUGGACAAUGGGCGCAAGCCUGAUCCAGCCAUCGCGUGGUGAGA
rnacentral:rRNA from 1 species